rnacentral:lncRNA from 1 species
UGGCGGGUAACGCGUCCCACGUAUUUCUUCUUAGAGAUAUACAUUACGCUAUACGUUUCCGAAGAAUGGCUCGAUUUACAGGGGUUCCCACAACGAUUUGUCACAUAUAAAAGAGUGGGUGGUAUUUUUACGUCAAAGAUGAACAGGCGAACGUCGAUCUAAAUCGUGUGGUAUCAGAUGCGGGGAGGCGUGGGGGAGGGAGCGGGGGAGAAAGCGUUAAUUCUUCCAGCUUUAGAGCCAGACGUAAUAUUUAAAACGUGGAUUGUUUUUCAAAUAAACUUUUAUAUGGACACGACAGCAUCUUAUCCUGCAUUAAUACUGCAUUGCAACUAGAAAGAAAACCAGUGGAGGCGGGCAAGGCCCCCGAUCACGUGAUACCGCCCCCCAACUCCGGGCGGAAGAGGCCAGCGACAGCGCUGCACGAAGCGAGUGGGCGGGCGCUCGUGCCCGGCUAAAAGAUGGCUGCUGGCGCCGGGCAGCCACCGCCUGGGAGGUUACUGUAAGGCCCGCAGCUCCCGCCAGCUCCCGCGGACUGCUGCCGCCUCCUUACCAUGAAGCCAGUAAGUCGUCGCACGCUGGACUGGAUUUAUUCAGUGUUGCUGCUUGCCAUCGUUUUAAUCUCCUGGGGCUGCAUCAUCUAUGCUUCGAUGGUGUCUGCAAGACGACAGCUAAGGAAGAAAUACCCAGACAAAAUCUUUGGGACGAAUGAAAAUUUGUAACUCUUCUGGAUUUAAUUAUCUGAAAAUACAGUUCUUUCCCUC